ACAGACGGACGGAGUGACGGACGGACUGGCUGCAGCUGCGGCCAGUGGCGGGCACUCACCCUCCUCCCUCACGCGGCCCGGCCCGAGGCUCCGGUUUUGUACGCCCGAGAGGCGGGGCCUCCGGGUUAAAGCCCCGCGCCGGCCCCGCCCCUCGCGUCAGCCGCGCGCGUCGCCCGGGAUUCCCGGGCCACCAGGGGGAGCGCGCAGCCCGGGCCGCCGCGCAGGCGCGCACGCGUACCGCGCGGCCCACGCCCUGGCCGGCCGGCCCUGAAAGGGAGUGCGCGCCCACGCCGGCUCGCGCAUGCCCGAGCCGGGGGCUCCGCCCUCUCGAGCGGUCCCACCAAACCGGUUCCAACUGGAAAGCAACCCCAAGCUAAGUGUCCGUGUGUCCGUGCGGGCUCAUCCUGAUGCCGACGCCUGGUUGUGGGUAGGGAAACCGAGGCUGAGGAGGGAGUCGCCCUGCACACAGGUCCUCUCUACUCAUCAUCCUGGCAGUUUGUAGUUGUUCCUCGUCCCAUCCCUGGAUGUGCUCCCAAGGAUCCUAAAGAUGGGUUCAGUAUCACACCUGUGUGACCUCAGACAAGACACUCGAUCUUUUCGUGCCUCUGUCAUUCUCUGUAAAAUGUGACAAAAGCACACCGCUCCUGCCCGAUCCCACUCCUGCUUCCUCCCUCCCGCAGACCUGGCACUGCUUGCAACGGGUCUGCCAGGCACAGAUCCUUGCUGGGUGACUGAGGCAAGCCGACUGCCUGCUUUCUGCAGCUGGAUCUUUUUUUUUUUUUUUUUUUUUUGGUUUUUCGAGACAGGGUUUCUCUAUUUUUUGGAGUCUUCUGCAGCUGGAUCUUAAAGAAGGUAUGAAGAAGGUAACACUGUUUCCAGCAGAAGUCUUUUGCAUUAAGACAUUAUGACGAGAACAACAAGCUAAUUUGAUGCCAGGCACUGUGCUAAGCACAUUAAAAGCAGGAGCUGGCUACACCAUGCUAUUCAGUUUCAUUUGCUUUACUUAGGAAAAGGCAAAGUAAAUUCUCGAUGGGCGAUGACACCCCAGUUCAGCCCACCAUGCGAUCUCUAUCUCACCACCACCCUUCCAACGCAGUAACAUACUUCUUGUAUAAACUUGGGCAAGUCCCCUUUUGUCUUUGGGAGGCAUGUCCCCUGGAAAGAAAUGAGGCAGAAACAGAACUUUCACAAUGAAGUCUUUGACCCCCUGAAUCCUGCUCACUAUUGAAAAGAACGCACGGCAGCUUCAAUAUGGACUUCACCAAGUCUGAGAUCUUGGUGCUGGAGGGAUUUCAGCACACUUGUAAUGGUGAUCUUUUGGGGUCCUGUGAGUAGAUGGUGGCGAAGGGUUGUGAGGAGCAGUGGCCUUUCUUGACUCAGCACAAAACUACCACAUGGACCAGCUGCAGCUCUGGCCAGAGGCCUGAAAAUCUGGUGGCUUUGGUUUUCCUGGGUGGCAGAUGUGAAACCAAGAGACUUGAAAUGUGUCACAAAAUGAGGCUGUCUUCCUAUCCUUCUGCCACCUCCAUGGAAGAACAUGGCCGGGUUGGGACACUGACUCCUUAACAGCCUUUGGACCCUGGGUAUAGACACAUGAAGCCAAGGCAGCUGACCUGCAAACUCAUGAAUAAGUACUUAUUGUUUUUCCCCACUGUUUAUACUGAGCAGUACUGAGAUGGUACACAAAGCAGAGUGUGACUGCAAGAAUAACCAAGAUAUAUCAUUCUGGAUACAGGACCAAGCAGUGAGGAGAUGAUGAGCAAACUCUUAGAGGAGGCUUGAAAAAAAUGUCUGGGUUCUACGUGGGCCAGAGCUCUCUGUGAAAUUCACCUAUAGGCACUUAAGUGAGCAGAUAUAGAUUCUUGGGCAAGAGCUGGCUCCUUUGGAUAUGAACUUGAAAGAGAGAAGAACUCACAAAAGAAAUAGCCAAUCUAUCAGGAUGCUUUGGGGAAAUAGGAAGGGCCUAGAACUUACUGAGUCGGAAAAUAAAUCUGUCAACUUCAGCCUCCAGCCAGUAGAUCAUUCUCAAAUUAAGAUAUAGCCUGGGAUAAAGAUCAAACCAGAGUCACUGCCCUUUAAAAUACCACGCAGGCCUGGUGCAGUGGUUCAAGCCUUAAAUCUCAGCACUCAAGAGGCAGAGGCAGGCUGGUCUUUAUAUAGAGAGUUCCAGGCUAGACAGGGCUACAUAGUGAGACCCUAUCUCAAAAAGAAAAAAAAAGAAGGUGGGGGGGAACCAAUUGGUAAGCUGGCUGUAAUUCCAGUUUCCAGUUCAAGGGAAUCUGACAUAAUCAUAUACUCUUCUGGCCACUAUGGUCACCUGCAUACAUGUAGUACCUAUAUAGAAAAGUAGGCAUGCAUGCAUGCACACACAUACACACAAUAAAAACGUCUCAGGUGGUCAAAGGAACUGUCAGAAAGCUCAGUGGUGUGGUCCCACAGAAGCCCAGCAUGCUCAAAAUAGGAACAAUUAAGUAAAGAGAGGCUUAACGUAAAAGUGGCUGUGGGUAUGACUUUGCCACAAAGAGUUACAUGAAAUUAAACUGAAUAAAUUAAAUUAAACUGUUUGAGCUAGGCCAAUGAGCUUCGGCUAACGUAGAUGUACCCUCCUACUGUUCCUAAGGAGGAAACAGGCUGAAGGCCAGAGUUCAUAUUCUCAGUGUAGGAAGUCUUCAGGAAUCUUCACCUGUCUGUGAAGGUGCUCAUGGUUUGUCCAGAAGGGUUUCAGAGUCAGUGAGUCAGUAAGUCUCUGAAUCCCCAUCUCCUUUCUAAACAGAGUAUGAGUGGCAGUUAUCCUGUCCUUAUUUUCUAAGUCAGGUUUUCAUUGGGGGAAGAGGGGUUUGGGCUACAGGGAGGAUGAUAAGGGUGUUUAGAUCACAGGUGAUGGGUCAAGGGGAGCUACAACCAGAUCUGGCACAAAUCACGGAUCUUGACGUUGUGGCUGUAUGAAAUAUUGGGAGAUCUUGGGUAGGAUAAGUAUCUUCUAUGUGAGAGAGGCAUGGAUUCAUGUGUGGAAUAGAGCAGACUGAAUUAUUGCCACUGAUUCUUUUCCCCUUUCUAUAGUCACACCCUUUGCCAUAGGGAUACAGUCUUCUCUAUAGUAGUGAGGUGGUCCUCACCCUUGACUGAGAGCUCAGUUAUGCAACUUGCUUUAGCCAAUGGAUGUUUGCUUAGAUUGGGCCUUGACUGUGCUUGUACUGUUAGGCUUGCUCUUGCCUUCUGCCCUCUUCAUGAGAUGAACACAUCCUGGCUAGACCACUCAUCUCAGGAGAAUAAGAGACUGACAGACUUGGGUAUGUUUGUUGUACAGUGUUAUUGAAGCAAGAGCUAAGCCACUGAGGGACCCAAUGGUCUGGGAUAUGCAGCUAUCAUGCAUUUUUGGUCCAUUUACUCAUUAGCAGUGGGGGUUGGAGGAAAUAGGUGAGUGAGGUUUAUUUGCAGUGAAUUCCUGUGGAUGUUGUGUAUCCUCCUGAGCCAUCUCAUUCUUUAAGAACUUCUCAGGGGUGUGAAAAUGUAAAGAAUGUGAUCCUUACCUGAGACUCCCAUGGGACCGCAGCAGAGUUCUGGGACAGCCUGGCAGAUCUCCCUGGAUUCCAAAUCCAAGAAUAUGGCUAUGGAUUCCAUAGCCACAGCCCCCGCCCCAGCUUAGGCACUUCUAAGUGGAAAAGCUUGUUGGCCUACAUGGAAGGAAGGUCUACAAGGAAGGCACUAGUGGAGCAGUACAUAUCCCAUGUUCCAAGAGGCAACUGUUGUAGGAGUGAACCCCACAAAGCUAUCCGCCCAUGAGGGCCGGGACAUGUAAACUAACACAGGUAGAUAUAAAAG